AUGGCUCAGGACGAACGCUGGCGGCGUGCCUAACACAUGCAAGUCGAACGGAGUCAGGAAGCUUGCUUUUGACUUAGUGGCGGACGGGUGAGUAACGCGUGAGUAACCUGCCUCUGAGAGGGGAAUAACGUUCUGAAAAGAACGCUAAUACCGCAUAACGUAUUGAAGCCGCAUGACUUUGAUACCAAAGAUUAUAUCGCUCGGAGAUGGACUCGCGUCCGAUUAGUUAGUUGGUGAGGUAACGGCUCACCAAGACCGCGAUCGGUAGCCGGACUGAGAGGUUGAUCGGCCACAUUGGGACUGAGACACGGCCCAGACUCCUACGGGAGGCAGCAGUGGGGGAUAUUGCGCAAUGGGGGCAACCCUGAACCGCAGCAACGCCGCGUGAAGGAUGAAGGUUUUCGGAUUGUAAACUUCUUUUAUCAGGGACGAAAUCUGACGGUACCUGAUGAAUAAGCUCCGGCUAACUACGUGCCAGCCGCCGC
rnacentral:rRNA from 1 species